GGGCCGAUGGUCUAGCUGGUAUGAUAUUGCCUCGACACGGCAAUGAUCGAGAGUUCAAAUCUCUCUCGGCCCA
rnacentral:tRNA from 1 species